GUGUCUAAUGUGAACAAAAAUCUGUGAAAUUGGUCCAGUAUUGAGGGUCAACGCUAUAACAGGCAGCCAUGGACCAGGCUGUAACGUAACCCUACA